UAGGGAAUCUUCCGCAAUGGACGAAAGUCUGACGGAGCAACGCCGCGUGAGUGAUGAAGGUUUUCGGAUCGUAAAGCUCUGUUGCCAGGGAAGAACGCUUGGGAGAGUAACUGCUCCCAAGGUGACGGUACCUGAGAAGAAAGCCCCGGCUAACUACGUGCCAGCAGCCGCGGUAAUACGUAGGGGGCAAGCGUUGUCCGGAAUUAUUGGGCGUAAAGCGCGCGCAGGCGGCCUUGUAAGUCUGUUGUUUAAACUCGGGGCUCAACCCCGAGUCGCAAUGGAAACUGCAAAGCUUGAGUGCAGAAGAGGAAAGUGGAAUUCCACGUGUAGCGGUGAAAUGCGUAGAGAUGUGGAGGAACACCAGUGGCGAAGGCGACUUUCUGGGCUGUAACUGACGCUGAGGCGCGAAAGCGUGGGGAGCAAACAGG
rnacentral:rRNA from 1 species